CAAUUGCCUCUAAUGUCCUCUACUAUGUUGAAGAAACUGGUUGGUUCUUCCGUAAACAAUGGGAGGAAAUGCGGUGGUGAUCCAUCCAGAGUUGCUGUGGCCACUCGUUUCCAGCGGGCUUUCAUGCGACUUCUUUGCAAUGCACAGUUUGAAGAGCUAUCGGCUAGCGAUUUAAUGGAAGAGAGCCUCUAAGGCCAAUGCUAUAAUUUACAGGCGGGGUUAUGCAACUGAGAGGCAGAAGGGCCUACUGCUAGUUGAAAAAUUGGAUUACAUACAGUCCAAACUUCUGCAAGGAAUUCUCGUUACCAUAUCAAAACCAUUGGGGAAGCUUGGCGCGUGGGUGAUUGAGAAAUUGAAAGGUUCUUAUUCCACCGAAGAAAUCAAGGAUUGGACAAAGAAGUUUAAGCAUUGGGUUUUAGAAGCUUCUGACUUGCAGA